GAUGAACGCUGGCGGCGUGCCUAAUACAUGCAAGUCGAGCGAACAGACGAGGAGCUUGCUCCUCUGACGUUAGCGGCGGACGGGUGAGUAACACGUGGAUAACCUACCUAUAAGACUGGGAUAACUUCGGGAAACCGGAGCUAAUACCGGAUAAUAUAUUGAACCGCAUGGUUCAAUAGUGAAAGACGGUUUUGCUGUCACUUAUAGAUGGAUCCGCGCCGCAUUAGCUAGUUGGUAAGGUAACGGCUUACCAAGGCAACGAUGCGUAGCCGACCUGAGAGGGGGAUCGGCCACACGGGAACUGAGACACGGUCCAGACGACUACGGGAGGCAGCAGUAGGGAAUCUUCCGCAAUGGGCGAAAGCUUGACGGAGCAACGCCGCGUGAGUGAUGAAGGUCUUCGGAUCGUAAAACUCUGUUAUUAGGGAAGAACAAAUGUGUAAGUAACUAUGCACGUCUUGACGGUACCUAAUCAGAAAGCCACGGCUAACUACGUG
rnacentral:rRNA from 1 species